GUGAAAUUGUUGAAAGGGAAACGAUUGAAGUCAGUCAUGCUGGUGGGAAUCAACUUAGGGGAAACUCUAGGUGCACUUCUUCGCUUGGCAGGUCAACGUCGAUUUUGAAUGUCAUAAAAUAAUUGGGGGAAGGUAGCUCCUUCAGGAGUGUUAUAGCCCUUGAUAGAUGUGAUGUUUGGGGUCGAGGAUUGCAACGGAUACCCUCUAGGGCUAGUCGCCUGAUCUCUAAUCGGUGUUGGGUUACGGAUAGCAUGCUGACCGUAAUCUAAUUACUGGUUAAAAGGUUAGAGCGUGCAUAAAUUCGUUAAGAACGUUGACGUAAUGGCUUUAAACGAC
rnacentral:rRNA from 1 species